UACGUAGGGUGCGAGCGUUGUCCGGAAUUAUUGGGCGUAAAGAGCUCGUAGGCGGCUUGUCGCGUCGGAUGUGAAAGCCCGGGGCUUAACCUCGGGUCUGCAUUCGAUACGGGCAGGCUAGAGUUCGGUAGGGGAGAUCGGAAUUCCUGGUGUAGCGGUGAAAUGCGCAGAUAUCAGGAGGAACACCGAUGGCGAAGGCAGAUCUCUGGGCCGUAACUGACGCUGAGGAGCGAAAGCAUGGGGAGCGAACAGG
rnacentral:rRNA from 1 species